UGGGGAAUAUUGCGCAAUGGACGAAAGUCUGACGCAGCGACGCCGCGUGUGGGAUGACGGUCUUCGGAUUGUAAACCACUGUCGGGAGGGACGAAUACGCCGCAAGGCGGGUGACGGUACCUCCAAAGGAAGCACCGGCUAACUCCGUGCCAGCAGCCGCGGUAAUACGGAGGGUGCGAGCGUUGUCCGGAAUCACUGGGCGUAAAGGGCGCGUAGGCGGCCUGAUAAGUAGGGGGUGAAAUCCUGCGGCUUAACCGCAGGGCUGCCUUCUAAACUGUCAGGCUUGAGCACAGUAGAGGCAGGUGGAAUUCCCGGUGUAGCGGUGGAAUGCGUAGAGAUUGGGAAGAACAUUAGUGGUGAAGGUGGUUUGUUGGGUUGUUGUUGAUGUUGAGGCGCGACAGCGUGGGGAGCAAACAGG
rnacentral:rRNA from 1 species